rnacentral:lncRNA from 1 species
CCCCCUUGCUCUUCCAACAUCUUUUUGGCUAGGGCUGAGCACGAGUCGAAUUUGAUCGGAUUGAGAAAAAAAUUUCAUCCGACCAAAUCCAAUUGGAUUGAAGAAAAUUUAAUUUGCUGUCGAUCGUUUAUCAUGUAUAAAUUAUUUGAAACCAAAGUGAAUAGUUUGUAGCAGGUUCGGAUGGAUUGUAUCGAUUUGGGCUUCAGUGUUAACUCAAUGUUGAUUUUAAGUCCAAUGUUGGCCCACUU